ensembl:lincRNA
UGCUAAUGGAGAUCCAGGCCAUUAUCUGUCUUGACUGUGAGUUUGUGGCUAGUGUGCCUCAUCAUGCAGAUGAAAGAUGGGAAGGCACAGUCAGGGGACCCACUUUGUUUCACCUUGUUAUACCCAGGUUUGCAACUGGCAUUUGUCACACAAUGCAAAUCAGCACUGCAGCCCUGCUCUGACCGCCGGGGAGAGCAGAAGGCCACAACACAGCUCUCCUCCAGGGCGUACUGUACACAGUCAGGUAUUCCUGGAUUGCAGUGGGAGUUCAGAUGGAUCACAAGGUGAAUCCUCCUGAAAGGCAGUGUAGAGCUUCCUGCAUUUCAAAAGACAAGCACCUCUGAGAGGUGGGUGAGUCAAAGGAGUGUGUCUUUAUUAUGCCCUUACUCCACCCAUAUAGUGCAGGGACCAUGGCUGUAUACAGACACCUCAAACUCCGAUACAUUGCUCGAGUCUAAAAUACUUACAGUACAUAUUCCUCAAGAGAUUAAUAUAAAAUCAAAAAUAACUUAUUAUUAUACAUUUGCCAUUAAAGUAUAAAACAUAAAUAAAAUCUUCAUUGCAAUUAAUAUCAAAAUAACCAAAAAACAUUAAUAUAAUUAUGACAAUAAUGCUCAUAUGGUAAAUACAUGAGAGUUUCUGAAUUAUUAAGAUUGAUAUGUAAAUGAUAUAUAUGAAAUAAAGGCUAAUGAUUACCCACCAGUCCAUUUUCAAAAUGAUGAUGAUGAUUAUUAUGAUGAUGAUGUGCUGAGUACAUGAGGAAUGAGUAAGUCCAGUUAUCAGAGUUGCAGGUGUUAUAGUUUAAUUUUACCUAACGUUCAAAAGUAUUUUUCAAAUGUUUCAUUCACAUUGAGAUACCAGUUGUAGUGGAGCAGGGCAAAAUGAAUGGAUUCACAGUAAUAUUUUAUAUAUUUCCCAACAGAUGGGACAAAUCAUAUCCUAACUGGUAUUUGCAGAUCCAAAAACAAUAGUGUUACACUCACAAUUCACUCUCCAAUUAUGACUUUAAACCAUUGUCUGAUAACUCUGCUCCCAGCAUAUCAUACAAAAUUAAGAGUCAUAUUUGUCUGCAUCAGCCUGGUGUCAAAUUAGUGUCGUAUUGUGUUCAAAUGACAAGGUUCAGGCAAAAUGUUCUGAUCCAAGGGACAGGUGCUGUUUGUCUCAUUGCAUCACCAUAUGUAAGCCAUUCACAGCUGGUCUGGUAUGACAGGUCUCCGUUGUGUUUCUUACUGUAUUUUCACUCCACUUUUUUAUUCAGAGAAUUUAAAGCAAGAAACAUUUUUUUCUGUACAAAUUAGAUUUAUACCCUUAUGCAGAUUAAGUGCUUUACUAUACUGCUGAAAAUCUAUAUGACAAGUUAUCAUUUUAAUAAUUUUAUAAUUAACCUGACUAUAUUCAAAUCUGCAGUUAAGUUUGUUUUGCAGAAACAAAACAAAAGAUUUGCCAUAGGAUGACAGUCUUCACAUGGCUUUAACUUACUCAGAUAUACAACACUUAAUCAAAAAAAUGAGAGGGCUUUAAACACCUGAAAGAAACUUUGCCUUUUCUUAUCCCAAA